CCCGAGAAACGGCUACCACUUCCAAGGAAGGCAGCAGGCGCGCAACUUACCCUAAUCUCGAUUCGAGGAGGUAGUGACAAGAAAUACCGAUGCGGGACCCUACGGGUGCCGCGUUCGGAAUGAGUACGAUUCGAACCACCUAACGAGGAACGAUCGGAGGGCAAGUCUGGUGCCAGCAGCCGCGGUAAUUCCAGCUCCAAUAGCGUACGUUAAAGUUGCUGCAGUUAAAAAGCUCGUAGUUGAACGUUCGGGUUCCGCGGGACGGGGCCGCCCCGCGAGGGACGGCGCCGCCCCGGGGCUCGUGAUAUCUUAUCUCGCCGCCCGUCGCGAGGCGGACGGAGGGAUGGAUGAGGUUACCUGGAAAAAAUCGGGGCGAUCUAGGCGGGCGAACCUCGCCAACGAACGAUCGGACAUGGGAUAACGGAAGAGGGCGUCGGCUCGACUUCGUCGGUUCCUCGGGCCGAGGCACGUACGGUGAAUAGGGACGGUCGGGGCCGCCGUACCGGGUCGUGAGAGGUGAAAUUCUAGGAUCGACCCGAGACGAACUGCCGCGAAAGCAUUCGGCAAGG
rnacentral:rRNA from 1 species